GGCGUGGCUCAGUCGGUAGAGCAAUUGAUUCGUAAUCAAUGGGUCGGAGGUUCGAUUCCUCUCGCCA
rnacentral:tRNA from 1 species